UUCUCCUGCCUCAGCCUCCUGAGUAGCUGGGAUUACAGGCGCCUGCCACCAUGCCUGACUAAUUUUUGUAUUUUUAGUAGAGAUAGGGUUUCACCAUGUUGACCAGACUGGUCUCAAACUCAUGACCUUAGGUGAUCUGCCCACCUCAGCCUCCCAAAGUGCUGGGAUUAUAUGUGUGAGCUACCAUGCCCGGCCUUUAGAUUGCUUUUGAAUGUCCUGGUUUUCUACAUGUUUUUUCCUUGUCAUAUUUUUAAGGAAUACAACAUUGUAAGACAUACUGCAUGUUUUUCUUGUAAUGGUUGUUUAUUUUGAAACAUCAUGAACUGUCUUGGCCUGAUAGGUUUGCAGAGGAAAUCAAAGAGGGAUCUGUGAAAAAGGCACUGUGAGCUGCUAUACGACAUGCUGUCCUUUGCUGUUCCACUUGUAGCAGAAUUCAACGUUUUUCUAACAGGGUCUUAUCCUGGCACUGAGGGUGCUAGACUGGCGAUUUUGGCCGACUUAUUGGGUGGGUGGCUUCUUGGGGCCCACAUGAGCCAAUGGUAUCAUCCCCGCAGUGGAAGCUCCUUUCCUGGAUGCUCCUUGUCCAAGAAGAAGAGCAGAAACCACAUCCCUGAAAGGUAAUAUGUCUCGGUCCCUUGGCAUGGCCUUUCCAGCUCAUGGCUUCUGGGUGUGGGCUUCACCUUUUAUGGUCUCUGCGUCUCACAAGCUUGGCUUGUCUGCCCCUUGCUUUGAGGCUUUGACCCUCUUCGCCAGCCACUGUAGCUGAAAGGGGCAAUGUCUGUGAUGUCCUGUGAUUUCUCCUUAUUCUUGUAAAAGCGAGGUUCUGGCCAUUGCUCUUAGGUAAAAUACGAAAGGAUUGCUUUAAGGCGGGACUGUUACUUUUGGGGACACUCCUUAAUUCCCAAAAUCGAACCUCCUCAAUUCCUUGUUACUUGGCAUGGAAAGUGUAAUGAUUUGAGUUAGGAAGCCAGUAGUAGCGCCCUGAGAUCACACAUGGAAAGUUGGUUUGUAUUGUUUGCAGAAAUCACGAAGAGCAUACGCUGUUAGGUCCUAAUAGUCCUCAUUGGAGAGUUGUUCCUUUAUACGUACAAAUGAUUAAUUUUGAGACUUUGCACGUAUGUGCAGUGAACUGUUUUUACUCCUUGAGACCAUCCUCCACCAUUUCAUACCUCAAUAAAUCCUCUUUAUAUUAUGUCCUAUCUUUUGACUGUCACCUUCUGUCAGCCCCCAAUAG
rnacentral:lncRNA from 1 species